GCAAGUCGAGCGCACUGGCCCAACUGAUAUGACGUGCUUGCACUGAUUUGACGAUGGAUUACCAGUGAGCGGCGGACGGGUGAGUAACACGUGGGCAACCUGCCCUGGAGCGGGGGAUAACAUCUGGAAACAGGUGCUAAUACCGCAUGACUACUAAAACCACCUGGUUUUAGUAUAAAAGAAGGCUUCGGCUUUCACUCUAGGAUGGGCCCGCGGUGCAUUAGCUAGUUGGUAAGGUAACGGCUUACCAAGGCGAUGAUGCAUAGCCGAGUUGAGAGACUGAUCGGCCACAAUGGAACUGAGACACGGUCCAUACUCCUACGGGAGGCAGCAGUAGGGAAUCUUCCACAAUGGGCGCAAGCCUGAUGGAGCAACACCGCGUGAGUGAAGAAGGGUUUCGGCUCGUAAAGCUCUGUUGUUGAAGAAGAACGUGCGUGAGAGUAACUGUUCACGCAGUGACGGUAUUCAACCAGAAAGUCACGGCUAACUACGUGCCAGCAGCCGCGGUAAUACGUAGGUGGCAAGCGUUAUCCGGAUUUAUUGGGCGUAAAGCGAGCGCAGGCGGUUGCUUAGGUCUGAUGUGAAAGCCUUCGGCUUAACCGAAGAAGUGCAUCGGAAACCGGGCGACUUGAGUGCAGAAGAGGACAGUGGAACUCCAUGUGUAGCGGUGGAUGCGUAGAUAUAUGGAAGAACACCAGUGGCGAAGGCGGCU
rnacentral:rRNA from 1 species